rnacentral:rRNA from 1 species
AGGGUUUGAUCAUGGCUCAGAAUGAACGUUGGCGGCGUGGAUUAGGCAUGCAAGUCGCGCGACAAGGUUUCUUUAGCUUGCUAUUGAAACCAGAGGAGCGGCGAAAGGGAGAGUAACGCGUGGAUACCUGCCCUUGGCUCCGGGAUAGCGUCGGGAAACUGGCGGUAAUACCGGAUAAUAUCCCCGGAUCAAAGGUGUGAUUCCGGCCGAGGAUGGGUCCGCGUCCUAUUAGGUUGUUGGUGAGGUAAUGGCUCACCAAGCCAAAGAUGGGUACCGGGUGUGAGAGCAUGGCCCGGCUCACUGGGACUGAGACACUGCCCAGACACCUACGGGUGGCUGCAGUCGAGAAUCUUCCGCAAUGGGCGCAAGCCUGACGGAGCGACGCCGCGUGCGGGAUGAAGGCCUUCGGGUUGUAAACCGCUGUCAGUAGGGAGCAAAUGCAUCAGGGCAAUCUCUGAUGUUUGAGCGAUCUGCAGAGGAAGUCCGGGCUAAGUACGUGCCAGCAGCCGCGGUAACACGUACCGGACGAACGUUAUUCGGAAUCACUGGGCUUAAAGAGUCCGUAGGCGGCUCGGUAGGUGAGGUGUGAAAUCCCACGGCUCAACCGUGGAACUGCGCUUCAAACCACCGGGCUUGAGGGAGAUAGAGGUGAGCGGAACUGAUGGUGGAGCGGUGAAAUG